ACUCAAUAGAUACCCGGGUAGUCCUGGCAGUAAACGGUGCGCGUUUGGUGUGGGAGGAAUCGACCCCUUCCGUGCCGGAGCUAAACGCGUUAAAAACGCGCCGCCUGGGGAGUACGGUCGCAAGAUUAAAACUCAAAGAAAUUGACGGGGGCCCGGCACAAGCGGUGGAGUAUGUGGCUUAAUUACGAUGCAACGCGAAGAACCUUACCUGGGCGUUGACAUGCAUCACUAAGUUGGUGAAAGCCAGCGAAUACAGCAAUGUACAUUUUGUCACAGGUGCUGCAUGGCUGUCGUCAGCUCGUGUCGUGAGAUGUUGGGUUAAGUUCCCGCAACGAGCGCAACCCUUGUGGCCUGUUG
rnacentral:rRNA from 1 species